AGCUAAAUAAUACUAAUAAAACUCUAAUAUACUAUCACCUAUACAGUAUAUGACACAAAUUUACCCAUUCUAGUUAGGGUUAUAUUGACAGUCAUGAUUUCACAAUAUACAUUUUUAUUAUGUCGAAAAUUAAUUUGACAAAAGGUGAUCAUCUGAGAUAAAAAAAGAUGGCAGAGUUUUAGUGUGCGAUUGAGUUUAUCUUGGAUGGUUUACACUUUUAUUUUUUAUUUCUUUUUUUCUUAUUCUAUAGUGACAUAUAAAUGUCAUGCUGUUACAAUGCUACCUGCUAUUAUCAUAUAUAGUUUGGAUGGUUUACACUUUUAUUUUUUAUUUCUUUUUUUCUUAUUCUAUAGUGACAUAUAAAUGUCAUGCUGCUAUAAUGCUACCUGCUAUUGUCAUAUAGAGCCGUACAUAUAGACAUAUUCUAUUAUCUUUUUUUUAUCGUUAGACGAUUAUUUAAUUUUUUACUGACACUCGUGCAGAUAGAGUCAUGCUGUAGUUGGAUUUUUUUUUUUCACUGACUCGUUACGUCAGGUGAGCUGAUCCCUCUUUGACGAGUUUGGGCUAUUUAAUUUCUCAUCGGCUAUCGUGCUGAUAGGAUCAUAUGAUCCCUCUUUGACGAGUUUGGGCUAUUUAAUUUCUCAUCGGCUAUCGUGCUGAUAGGAUCAUAUUGUCUGACUCAUUACGUCAGGUGAGCUGGUCCCUCUUUGACAAAUUUGGACUAUUUAAUUUCUCAUCGGCGCUUGUGUUGAUAGAGUCUUGGUAUAAUUGGAUUCUUUUUUCCACUGAUUCAUUAUGUUAGGUGAGCUGAGUCCCUUUUUAAUAAGUUUGGGCUCCUGCUUGAUUGUGGUCUAGAUUGCGCGCUAACGAAUCAACUUGCAUAGUAAAUUUUAAUAAGUUUUAAAUUUGAUUUUUCUAAAGAGUUCGACUACGGUCUGGUGUUAGUGGCCGGCAAUCAUAAAAAAGUUAGUAAAUCAUGCUAAAAUUAAAUUAAAGGAGAAAGGAGAGGGAAAGAGCGAAGUGCUGAUGGGUUUCACUGUUUUUGGGUGACAAAACCUAUCUAUUUGAAAAUUUGUUAAUUUUUCAUUAUUCACAUAAUGCUCUUAUCAAUCAAGCUUCCUUUUUUUCUUUUUUUAUCGAAAUUACUCUGAACAAAUUUAACUGAAAAGCCAAUUAGCCAUUGCACGGCUAAAAGGAAUGUAUUUUCUUGUAAAUAGCUUGUUUAUCGCUUUUGAAGUUUUUUUUUUUUAUUUGUUUGAAUGCUUUCGAGUUUUUUUAUCUUUAUUUUCUGUAAGAUUUUAUUUCUCCUUUUAUUGUGUCAUGAUUUGAUCAGAGGCUUGCAGUCAGUGACUUUUAGCACCAAAAUAUUAUUAGCUUAUUAAAAUGGCUCCAUAAUUAUUAUGGACUAAAAAUGCCAUGACAAGAUUCUACCUUUGAUGGUAGUGGCCGACAGUGAAUUGAAAGCUUUGGUUGUUUUUUUUAGGUGGUACACGUGGUAGGAUGGGAUGUUCAAGAGGUUUGGUAUCUUUGGAUUUGUUCAAUUUUAUCUUCUUUCAACUUCUAGCUGUGUUUGCCUUCAUCGUUGAUUGGUAGUUCUUCAGAUUCCCGUGUGCCGAUUGUUGUGAUUUUCGAUCACCGACAGUAGCAAUUGGCAUGUGUCAGUGCUGCUAGGAGUCGUGAAUUUCGUUUGGGCUGAAUUCAUUCUCUGGGUUGAGUUUCUUCUCAUCAGUAGUGGGUUUGGAUUUUUUUUUUUUGGGUUAUUAAUAAAAGUUUGAAUAAUAAAAUAUAUAAGUUUUAAGCUAUUAAUUAUGUAACGUAAUAAAUUUUAAAUUUUGUACGAGCAAAAU
rnacentral:lncRNA from 1 species